rnacentral:rRNA from 1 species
ACGUGGAUAAUCUGCCCUCAGAUGAAGAAUAAUCCCGGGAAACUGGGGCUAAUGCUUCAUAGGAGACGGGUGCUGGAAUGCUCUGUCUCUGAAAGGUCCGCCGUCUGAGGAUGAGUCUGCGUCCGAUUAGGUUGUUGUUGGGGUAACGGCCCACCAAGCCUUUGAUCGGUACGGGUUGUGGGAGCAAGAGCCCGGAGAUGGAUUCUGAGACAUGAAUCCAGGCCCUACGGGGCACAGCAGGCGCGAAAACUUUACAAUGCGAGCAAUCGUGAUAAGGAAACCCUGAGUGCCUGUUAUCGCAGGCUGUUCUGGUGUCUAACACACACCAGGAGAAAGGGCGGGGCAAGACCGGUGCCAGCCGCCGCGGUAAUACCGGCUGCUCGAGUGAUAGCCACUUUUACUGGGCUUAAAGCGUUCGUAGCUUGGUCGUUAAGUCUCUGGGGAAAUCUUUUGGCUCAACCAAAAGGCGUCUCAGGGAAACUGGCGACCUAGGAACCGGGAGAGGUAAGACGUACUUCGGGGGUAGGAGUGAAAUCUUGUAAUCCCCGAGGGACGACCGAUGGCGAAGG